rnacentral:rRNA from 1 species
GGCGAACGGGUGAGUAAUGCAUCGGAACGUGCCCAGUCGUGGGGGAUAACUGCUCGAAAGAGCAGCUAAUACCGCAUACGACCUGAGGGUGAAAGCGGGGGACCGUAAGGCCUCGCGCGAUUGGAGCGGCCGAUGUCAGAUUAGCUAGUUGGUGGGGUAAAGGCCUACCAAGGCAACGAUCUGUAGUUGGUCUGAGAGGACGACCAGCCACACUGGGACUGAGACACGGCCCAGACUCCUACGGGAGGCAGCAGUGGGGAAUUUUGGACAAUGGGCGCAAGCCUGAUCCAGCAAUGCCGCGUGCAGGAAGAAGGCCUUCGGGUUGUAAACUGCUUUUGUCAGGGAAGAAAUCUUCUGGGCUAAUACCCCGGGAGGAUGACGGUACCUGAAGAAUAAGCACCGGCUAACUACGUGCCAGCAGCCGCGGUAAUACGUAGGGUGCGAGCGUUAAUCGGAAUUACUGGGCGUAAAGCGUGCGCAGGCGGUUAUGUAAGACAGA